GAUAUGUUGGAAAUUGGCAAUGGAGGCAUGACUUACAGAUUCUAAGAAAUAAGGAGGUCAUUGCCGUAAAUCAAGACCCACUUGGGGUAAGAAAGGAAAGUUUAAACUGCCGGAACUGAUGGUUGCCUACAGUUGCUUUGCCUGGAAAUCGCUUGGGGGUUGCUCUUGGAAUCAUUGAUCCAAAGCUGCAACAAUUACAGUUAGAUGGAAUGUGCUUGGGCUUGAAGUUGGCACCAGUGUCUCAGCGCGAGACUUGUGGUAGCACAAAGAUGUUGCAGGAGAUGCAGCGGCAUCAUUUGGCGCUCGAGUAGAUUCUCACAAUUGUGUUUUAGAAGAGGAAGAAUUUGUUUCAAUGGA
rnacentral:misc_RNA from 1 species